AACGCAUCUUGCGCUUCUUGGUAUUCCGAGGAGCAUGUCUGUUUGAGUGUCAUUAACUUCUCAAUCAUUCUGGCUUGAAUUAGCUGGUCUGAAUUGGAUUGUGGAUGGUUGCAGGUUUUAUUCUGCUCGUCUGAAAUAAAUUAGCAUAAGUUUUUCCAACCACUUAUUAUUGGUAUGAUAAACUACUUAUACUGCCAUUGAUGUGGUUUGGCUUGAGCUUCAAACAGUUUGCCUAGCAAACAGUCAUAUGAAACUUUUGACCUCAAAUCAGAUAGGACUACCCGCUGAACUUAA
rnacentral:misc_RNA from 1 species